rnacentral:sRNA from 1 species
GAUGCCACCUCACAGGUCCCAUGUGCAAAUUCCGGGGGAGUUAGUAUGAAACAUGCAGUGGAAAUUCAGGCUGUGAUAUCGGCAAGCUCAUUCUGCACAACCCCAGUCGGCCAUCUUGGUUCCAGCUUAUUUCAGCCAGUUCUUUUAUCUCAUAAGCGGAGGGAGUUUCUGGGUUUCGGCAAAUUGUUUCUUUUCUUAUCUGCCAUCCUGCAAACUCAAGAACUUGUGUUAGUCAUUGGUUUCUUUAACUCUGUGGGGCACAGUUUCCAAUGCCCAUUAAAUCCCUUGAAUUGGACCAUGUUUCUUCCUCCUGUGCUCAGCUGCCCUUUCUGCCCUCCCUCAUUUCUUCUGCAGUAUGUGGGUGCCCCGGUGGCUUAUGUCCAGCAGAUAUUUGUGAAGUCCUCAGUGUUUCCCUGGCACAAGAACCUCCUGGCAGUAGAUGUAUUUCGUUCACCUUUGUCCCGGGCAUUCCAACUGGUGGAGGAGAUCCGGAACCACGUGCUGAGAGACAGCUCUGGGACCAGGAGCUUGGAGGAGUUGU